rnacentral:rRNA from 1 species
UGGGGAAUAUUGGACAAUGGGCGCAAGCCUGAUCCAGCCAUGCCGCGUGUGUGAAGAAGGCCUUCGGGUUGUAAAGCACUUUUGUCCGGAAAGAAAGCGAAUCGGCGAAUACCCGGUUUGGAUGACGGUACCGGAAGAAUAAGCACCGGCUAACUUCGUGCCAGCAGCCGCGGUAAUACGAAGGGUGCAAGCGUUGUCCGGAUUUACUGGGUGUAAAGGGCGCGCAGGCGGGAUAAAAAGUCAGUGGUGAAAUCCUACAGCUUAACUGUAGAACUGCCUUUGAUACUUUUAUUCUUGAGUUCGGGAGAGAGAGACGGAAUUCCAGGUGUAGUGGUGAAAUACGUAGAUAUCUGGAAGAACACCAGUUGCGAAGGCGGUCUCUUGGUCCGACACUGACGCUGAGGCGCGAAAGCGUGGGGAGCAAACA